GAUAGUUUGGCUGAGUGGUCUAAGGUGCCAGAUUUAGGCUCUGGUCCGAAAGGGCGUGGGUUCAAUUCCCACAGCCGUUA
rnacentral:tRNA from 1 species